rnacentral:sRNA from 1 species
UAUAUUAUUAACCUAUAAAUUAGAAGUUGAAGAGCUUACAUUAAUUAUUUAAUAGACACAUGACAAAUGUUAAAGCGAUGAUGUGACAAUCAUAUGGAGAGAGUUGACCAACUUUCAUAUAUAUGAUUUCAUUCUCUACCUAACCAUGACUAUUACCAAAAUCUAAUGUAUUUCUUACCUUUCUGAUUAUUGCCUUUGAUCCCCAAACUUUCAUCAUCUUUGGAUUCUUAGGGUUCUUCUCUCCUUAACUCUUCUCUUCUUUUUUUUCCCCAAAAAUGUCUACUCCAUUUAACUACACCAACACUUUUGAGAAGGAAAUAAGCUAACCAGAGUAAGGUUAGGACUUACUAGUGAGUAGACUAACUAAA